GACGAACGCUGGCGGCGUGCUUAACACAUGCAAGUCGAACGGAAAGGCCCCCUUGUGGGGUACUCGAGUGGCGAACGGGUGAGUAACACGUGAGUAACCUACCCUUGACUUUGGGAUAACUUCAGGAAACUGGGGCUAAUACCGGAUAGGAGCUCCUGCUGCAUGGUGGGGGUUGGAAAGUUUCGGCGGUUGGGGAUGGACUCGCGGCUUAUCAGCUUGUUGGUGGGGUAGUGGCUCACCAAGGCUUUGACGGGUAGCCGGCCUGAGAGGGUGGCCGGCCACAUUGGGACUGAGAUACGGCCCAGACUCCUACGGGAGGCAGCAGUGGGGAAUAUUGCACAAUGGGCGGAAGCCUGAUGCAGCAACGCCGCGUGCGGGAUGACGGCCUUCGGGUUGUAAACCGCUUUCGCCUGUGACGAAGCGUGAGUGACGGUAAUGGGUAAAGAAGCACCGGCUAACUACGUG
rnacentral:rRNA from 1 species